rnacentral:rRNA from 1 species
UACGUAGGUGGCUAGCGUUACCCGGAAUCACUGGGCGUAAAGGGAGCGUAGGUGGCCUGACAUGUCAACUGUGAAAACCCGGAGCUCAACUCCGGACUUGCAGUUGAAACUGCCAGGCUUGAGGACGGUAGAGGAAGACGGAACUGCCAGUGUAGGGGUAAAAUCCUUAGAUAUUGGCAGGAACGCCGGUGACGAAGGUGGUCUUCUGGGCCGGAUCUGACACUGAGGCUCGAAAGCCAGGGGAGCGAACGGG